AGGAAAGGAAAAGGUGGAAAGAGAGAGAAAAACAGGGAAAAAAGGAAAGGAAAAGGUGGAAAGAGAGAGAAAAACAGGGAAAAAGGAAAGGAAAAGGUGGAAAGAGAGAGAAAAACAGGGAAAAAGGAAAGGAAAAGGUGGAAAGAGAGAGAAAAACAGGGAAAAAGGAAAGGAAAAGGUGGAAAGAGAGAGAAAAACAGGGAAAAAGGAAAGGAAAAGGUGGAAAGAGAGAGA